UCACGUCUUACGACGGCAGUCCACGCUGUAAACGAUGGAUGCUAGCCGUUGGCCGGUUUACCGGUCAGUGGCGCAGCUAACGCAUUAAGCAUCCCGCCUGGGGAGUACGGUCGCAAGGCUAAAACUCAAAGGAAUUGACGGGGACCCGCACAAGCGGCGGAGCAUGUGGCUUAAUUCGAGGCAACGCGAAGAACCUUACCUGGGCUUGACAUCAGGGGAAAACCUACAGAGAUGUAGGGUCCGUAAGGGCCCCUGACAGGUGUUGCAUGGCUGUCGUCAGCUCGUGCCGUGAGGUGUUGGAUUAAGUUCCGCAACGAGCGCAACCCCCGUCUUUAGUUGCCAGCACGUAAUGGUGGGGACUCUAGAGAGACUGCCGGCGACAAGCCGGAGGAAGGUGGGG
rnacentral:misc_RNA from 1 species